AGAGUUUGAUCCUGGCUCAGAACGAACGUUGGCGGCGUGCUUAACACAUGCAAGUCGAACGAGAACGUCCCGGCUUGCCGGGAUUAGUAAAGUGGCGCACGGGUGAGUAACACGUGAGUAAUUUCCCUCUAAGCUUGGGAUAACAUUGCGAAAGCGGUGCUAAUACCGAAUAAGACCACGGUAUCACAUGAUACAGUGGGAAAAGGUGGCCUCUGUAUAUGCUAUCACUUGGAGAUAAGCUCGCGGACCAUUAGCUGUUGGUAGGGUAACGGCCUACCAAGGCCAAGAUGGUUAGCUGGUCUGAGAGGAUGAUCAGCCACACUGGAACUGAGACACGGUCCAGACUCCUACGGGAGGCAGCAGUGGGGAAUAUUGCGCAAUGGGGGAAACCCUGACGCAGUGACGCCGUGUGAGUGAUGAAGGUUUUCGGAUCGUAAAAGCUCUGUCAGAUGGGAAGAAUAAAGGCAGGGAGAAUAUUUCUGCCUGAUGACGGUACCAUCAGAGGAAGCACGGCUAACUCCGUGCCAGCAGCCCGCGGUAAUACGGAGGGUGCAAACGUUGUUCGGAAUUACUGGGCGUAAAGCGCAUGUAGGCGGAUAUGGAAGUCAGAUGUGAAAGCCCUUGGCUCAACCCAGGAAGUGCAUCUGAAACCACAUAUCUUGAGUAUGACAGAAGGAAGUGGAAUUUCCAGUGUAGAGGUGAAAUUCAUAGAUAUUGGGAA
rnacentral:rRNA from 1 species